rnacentral:rRNA from 1 species
CCAUUCCCGGGCAGCAUAAUACAUGCAAGUCGAGCGGACAGAAGGGAGCUUGCUCCCGGAUGUUAGCGGCGGACGGGUGAGUAACACGUGGGUAACCUGCCUGUAAGACUGGGAUAACUCCGGGAAACCGGAGCUAAUACCGGAUAGUUCCUUGAACCGCAUGGUUCAAGGAUGAAAGACGGUUUCGGCUGUCACUUACAGAUGGACCCGCGGCGCAUUAGCUAGUUGGUGGGGUAAUGGCUCACCAAGGCGACGAUGCGUAGCCGACCUGAGAGGGUGAUCGGCCACACUGGGACUGAGACACGGCCCAGACUCCUACGGGAGGCAGCAGUAGGGAAUCUUCCGCAAUGGACGAAAGUCUGACGGAGCAACGCCGCGUGAGUGAUGAAGGUUUUCGGAUCGUAAAGCUCUGUUGUUAGGGAAGAACAAGUGCGAGAGUAACUGCUCGCACCUUGACGGUACCUAACCAGAAAGCCACGGCUAACUACGUGCCAGCAGCCGCGGUAAUACGUAGGUGGCAAGCGUUGUCCGGAAUUAUUGGGCGUAAAGGGCUCGCAGGCGGUUUCUUAAGUCUGAUGUGAAAAAUGUCCCCCCCCCCCGGCUCAAUCCAGGGGGAAGGGUCCAAUUCGGAAACUGGGAAACUUUGAGUGCAGAAGGAGGAAGAAGUGGAAAUUCCACGUGUAGCGGUGAAAUGCGUAGAGAUGUGGAGGAACACCAGUGGCGAAGGCGACUCUCUGGUCUGUAACUGACGCUGAGGAGCGAAAGCGUGGGGAGCGAACAGGAUUAGAUACCCUGGUAGUCCACGCCGUAAACGAUGAGUGCUAAGUGUUAUGGGGGUUUCCCGCCCCCUUAGUGCUGCAGCUAAACGCAUUUAAAGCACUCCCGCCCUGGGGGGAGUACGGUCGCAAGAACUGAAACUUCAAAGGAAUUGGAACCGGGGGCCCGCACAAGCGGUGGAGCAUGUGGUUUAAUUCGAAGCAACGCGAAGAACCUUACCAGGUCUUGACAUCCUCUGACAACCCUAGAGAUAGGGCUUUCCCUUCGGGGACAGAGUGACAGGUGGUGCAUGGUUGUCGUCAGCUCGUGUCGUGAGAUGUUGGGUUAAGUCCCGCAACGAGCGCAACCCUUGAUCUUAGUUGCCAGCAUUUAGUUGGGCACUCUAAGGUGACUGCCGGUGACAAACCGGAGGAAGGUGGGGAUGACGUCAAAUCAUCAUGCCCCUUAUGACCUGGGCUACACACGUGCUACAAUGGACAGAACAAAGGGCUGCAAGACCGCAAGGUUUAGCCAAUCCCAUAAAUCUGUUCUCAGUUCGGAUCGCAGUCUGCAACUCGACUGCGUGAAGCUGGAAUCGCUAGUAAUCGCGGAUCAGCAUGCCGCGGUGAAUACGUUCCCGGGCCUUGUACACACCGCCCGUCACACCACGAGAGUUUGCAACACCCGAAGUCGGUGAGGUAACCUUUAUGGAGCCAGCCGCCGAAGGUGGGGCAGAUGAUUGGGGUGAAGUCGAAUCAAGGUGGUCG